rnacentral:rRNA from 1 species
GAUGAACGCUGGCGGCGUGCCUAAUACAUGCAAGUCGAGCGAAUGGAUUAAGAGCUUGCUCUUAUGAAGUUAGCGGCGGACGGGUGAGUAACACGUGGGCAACCUGCCUGUAAGACUGGGAUAACUUCGGGAAACCGGAGCUAAUACCGGAUACGUUCUUUCCUCGCAUGAGGAAAGAUGGAAAGAUGGUUUCGGCUAUCACUUACAGAUGGGCCCGCGGCGCAUUAGCUAGUUGGUGGGGUAAUGGCUCACCAAGGCGACGAUGCGUAGCCGACCUGAGAGGGUGAUCGGCCACACUGGGACUGAGACACGGCCCAGACUCCUACGGGAGGCAGCAGUAGGGAAUCUUCCGCAAUGGACGAAAGUCUGACGGAGCAACGCCGCGUGAGCGAAGAAGGCCUUCGGGUCGUAAAGCUCUGUUGUCAGGGAAGAACAAGUGCCAGAGUAACUGCUGGCACCUUGACGGUACCUGACCAGAAAGCCACGGCUAACUACGUGCCAGCCGCCGCGGUAA